CUGGGGGUAUUGUAGAAGAAGAAGGAAUGAAUGGCCCUAGGUUCUUCUUAGUUUUACAAAGUAUUCUGGGUAAGGUCAAAUUACAGAUCAAAUGGGAGAGGCCCUGCAACCAAUACAAAUCCUGCAAUUAUAAGGUUAGAACCAAUCCAAGAGCUUGAAGAAGGGCUCAGGCCAGGCCAAUCAGGACCUGGACUACACUUCCCAGAAACCUUUGCAUCAAAAGUAGAUUCUUUGCUAGGAAAAAGAGGAUGCCUUUAGAGAAGGCUGCCAUAAACAAUGCGGCAGGAAAGCAGGUGAGAGGAGCCUUGGAUAAUUCUAUAUGUGGACUGAAAACCAAACAAAAAGCCACAAAUGUAGGUCCUAAGAGUAACACACACACACACACACACACACACACAAACACACCUGUCAAAAAAGUCUUGUGUGUAAAUCUCUGUCUCAGAGUCAACUCCCCGGAGAACCUGACCACAGACGGUUGAAGCCAGGAAUUAUCCAAAGUAGCCAACUGGAAAUGGGAGUUUAAAGUUGGAUUGCUUGCUUGCCUGGUUGGCAGUGAAGAUCUCAUCAAUAGUGGUAGUUGAGUCACUAAUAGCCCAUGUCUCAUGUCAGUGGUAUAUUAUUAAAAUCCCAUUGCUUUUGAACUGAGAUGAAACAUCAGUGGAAGGGGAUGUGCUGGAAAUUGCAGCGGCUUAGGAUUUUGAGAGUUACAUAAGAAUUUGUAAGAAUAACUUCAUGAAAUCCAGUAGAUACUGCUGAGUUCAAUUGCAGCCUUAGGAAGGAUAAGGAUGAUUAAUCUUCCACUAAAACCUAAGUGUGAAAGCCAGAUGGCCUUGGAAGACUAUAGAGGGACUCUCAUUUACUGCAGCUGAAUCAUAGAAAAUACAAAGACUCUGGGCUGAGAUUUAAAUAUGAGAGAAGCCAAGUUCUGGAGAAAGCUGUGUUAGUAUUCCCACUAACACAGGUCAGGGCCCUGUUAGGAAGUAUGAAACUCUAAGACUUCCUAUGGAGUUUUUUGUAUAUGCACUCAGAAGUUUUCAAAUCUCAGAUUAUCCUAAAAACUUUACACUUGCAAAAUCUCCCCUCUAUAUAUGUGUUAAAACACAUAAUCUAUCUCUUGGCUGAAGAAAAUACAGAUAUCCCUUCCUUGUAGAAAUGUGUUCCCCUCAUCAUUGAUUCCAUAUCGCAAAUGAGCCACAAUUUUCAUAAUUAGCAUUGUAUUAAUUUUCUAUGGCUGCUGUAACAAAUUGCCACAAUUUUGGUACUUCCAAAACCAAAAAUUUAUUCACUCAAAUUCCAGAAAUCUGUGUUACCUGGUCAAAAUCAAAGUAUUGUUGGAAACAUACUCUCUUGAGAGAGGCUCUAGAAACAAAUCUAUUCUUUGUCUCUUCCAGCUUCUGAUGAAUUCUAGCGUUCCUAGGUUAGUGGUCUUAACACUGCAAUCUCUGCCUCUUUCUUCACUUUUCUUAUUUCUCUUCUGUGUGUGUUAAAUCUUCCUCUGACUCUCUCAUGUAAGAAUGCAUGUGAUUGCAUGUAGUGUCUACUGUGAUAACCCAGCAUAAUCUUCCCAUCUCAUGAUAUUUAGCUUACUCUCAUUUAAAAUAUUACUUUUCCUCAUAAGAGAAUAUUUACAGGUCUCAAGGAUUUUGACUUGAUAUAUUUGGCCAUUAUUUAGCCUAUUAGAAGUACUACUUUGCAUACUAUCUGAUAUGGAAAGAACUAGGCAUAGUAAAAAAGGAACAGACUGUAGUAUGAAUGAAUUGUAUAAUUUAGUCAACAGGUAGUAGCAGGACAAUAAGAUGGUAUGAUUGGAUCCUGAAGAUCCUGAGAAUGUAAGGUUGGAUUGAGGAGAAUUAUCUCCUACAUAAGAGCACACUCCCAUGACAAAGCAAGCAUCUCACUAAACCACAAGUUUUGCCUGCCCUCUGAGUACUUUAGAUCUUUUGUUUCCAUAGAACUUGAGAAAAGAAAUCACUGCUAUGUCAAGCAUGAUUACCUCUGAUCAGCAGAAAGAGGUAACGGUGCUUUUGUACCUGCGGUCCAGAAGGAAUAGGUGUAUGACUCUGGUGAUCCACUUCAGCGUCCCUUAGUGUUUCUCUUGCCUGUCAAUGUGAAUGUAUUGUGUGGUAUUCCUGACCUGAGAAUAGUAUGGUUACCAAGAGCUUAGAUGACUCAAGAAUGAGAGUCUGAGUACAAUCACAAGGUAAAUCACCAAAAUGUGUAGAGGUAUAACUGAAAGUGAGAAUUUAGAUAAAUAUGGAGGAGGAAGAUGAUGAGAACCAGUUGUGGCCCUGGAGAUUACUCCAGACCUCCAUGUCACUAACCUCCUUUUCAAUUUCAACUGAGGAAGAAAGACCCUUGAGAGCCAUAGGGGAGCUGCUUCUCACAUAUGUGUGAACGAGUGUACUAAUGCAGCACAUAGAGCUAUGAUAUAGGAGAGAAAAUAUUUCAUGCUUCUAAAUGUCCAGGGCUUUCAGAACAAAAAAUACAGGCAAUUUACAUUAAAAGAUGGUUGAAUAGUAACCCUAGGAGUAAAAUAAUUCUGAGAUAUUUAUAGUUUUAUCUUUUCUGAGCUUUCUGUUUACAUUUCAAAGAAGGAUAAAACCCCAAGCCAUUAGUUUGCAUUCCAAAGGACUGUAGAAACUUAGAAACCUCUCUCAGAGAAGAUUUGUUUACAUCAGGGAAGUAAGGUUUCUCUCCUUUUCUCGGGAGAGACAUAUGGCAGCUAUGCAGCAGUUCCCCUAUAAGCUUCCAAAUUUAUCAUUCUCAGGGUUCUGCAUCAGUAGUACAAUCUCCUGUAUAUGCAGCUGAUGACUGCCCUCAUUACACUGCCUGAGAAAUUUGGGUAAGGAGGAAUGAUGCUGUUAUUGCUCUAAGUAAUUCUGAUCUCUCAUCCAAAAGCUACAUGUUUUAUUUCAGAAGAAAGUCAAUAGUUAUAUAUAUUAAAAACUUAUCAGAGGUAGACUUUGGCAGACAUAGAGUUGUGCUACUUAGAUGUAUUUACUUUUGAACAGCUUUAUUGGGGUGUUAUUGAUUUACAAAGAAUUGCGCAUAUUUAAUAUUUAAUGUGUGCAAUUAGAUGAUUUUGGACAACGCUUAUGAUACAGUCAUCACAAUCAAGGGGAAAGACAUAGUCAACAACUCCCAAAGCUUCCUUAUAUAUCUCUUUGUUAUUUAAUUUUUUUUUUCAAGAGAACCUAUCAGUGUAAGUGGUCGACAUCCGCUAGCUUCUAUACACUUCGAUUCCUAACAGUGCUCAUAACAAGUCUGUGUUUUCUCUGGCUUGCUCACAAACAAGUAUGACAAGGGACUGUUGUUGAGCCCAAUGUGAUUCUCCACUAAUGAGAUUCUUUCCUCUGGGGUUUUCCGUCUAUUUGGCCAAGAAUUCCUCAGAACUUGAUUGAAAGUUCUGAACUCUUUCUACCCAGUCUACCUUUCUUCCUCUUUUCCUUUCACAGGUAUAAAACAUGUAUCAUGGUGUAAAAUCUCUAUCCAUCUUUCCCUGCCCAAUAAAUAUUUUUAUUGUCUAAUUAUCUCUUGGUAUCUGCUUUUAGAAGAAGUAAACUAACACAGAAAUAAUUUAUAUAUAGAUGGGAUCCUAAGAAAUAUACAUUUCUGGUCUUACCCCACCCUCCUUCCCUCUGCCAUAAUAUAUUCUGAAGAGUUAUGGCCAUUUCACAAACAUUGAUCCACUGUAUUAUUAUAUCAAUUCUCUGAAUAUUUAGAGGCCUUUGUUCCAAGGAGGAAAAUGCUUUCUUUUGGGGACACAUUAUGAGUGCAAUUAAUCCUUAGAUUAUGGCUUCCACUCAGUCACUUCAGGUUUGUCAUACCAAGCAAACAGUAGGCAAGAAAGAAAAAGAGUAACUUUCCCUUUAGGGUUAUUAACAUUGAUCAUCAGGACAUGACAAAAUAGUACUAUAUUAUACUCUUCAGUGUCCCACUAGUACAUCAUCCUUUGCCCAGUUUUGUCAGUAGUGGGAUAGUUCAGUAACUUUGGUCUGAGAAGUACUUGGUAAAUAGGAGGUAGGAUCAAUCAGGGAUGGAGUUAUUAUUCAGUCAUGAAGUAAACCUCUGAACAGAAAUUCCAGCCAAAUAUGAGAGGAGUCUUUACUUGGUAGUAGACUAAGAAUAACAUCAAUUGCAGUUAAAAAUACACGCCUAUGGGAAUAUAACACUGAUCAGGCAUAGCAGUGGGGACUCUAGUUUAUCCUUCUAAAUAUCAAUUUAAAAAUACUCUGGGAAAAGCAGCUGAUCAGAAUUAUGGAGAACACACUUCUCUAACAUAUUCUACAAAUAACAUAUUCUCUAACAUAUUGUACAAAUAGUGUUUCCACAGAACACAAAGAGUGAGGGUGUAUUGGACGCUCUUGGCAAUUCCUAGAAUUCCCCUGCUACUAGAAUAAGUCAUUCAUUCUCCAGGUGCUAGGAGUGUUGGCAGCUGACAGUUAUCAACUGAGCCCCUUCCCAGGAAUUGUUCUCCCAUCUGAAGAACACUUUUUUGCCCUAAGUUAUCCCUCUUAUCUAGAAAGCCAUCAUUCCAUGACUGUUCAAUGCAAAGGAUAUAAAGGCCAAAUUCCCUUGCUCAAUAUGGGACAAACUGAAGGGUCAUCUCCAUUUCACAGCUCUUAGUUUAUUAGCUGAGACCCUUGUUGUAACUAAAUCUCAAUUCAGAUUCUUGUUCUGCGGUUCUGCUUUUUUAUGCCUCUUCAUUGUUCAUCAAAAGAACGCUUCUCAGGAGUUCCUGCUGUGGUGCUGUGGGUUAAGAAUCCAACUGCAGCAGCUCAAUUUACUGUGGAGUCACAAUUUCAAUCCCCUGCCCAGCACCCUGGGUUAAAGGAUCCAGUGCUGCCACAGCUGUGGUGUAGGUCACAGCUGUGGUUUGGAUUCAAUCCUAGGCCCAGGAACUUACAUAUGCUGUGGGUACAGCCAUAAAAGUUGAAAAAAAAAAAAAAAAAAAAAAAAACGGAAGAGUACUUCCCAAUUAAUCUCCUGGACGUAAACCUCUGUCUCAUAUUCUAUUUUGCAGAGAACUAUACUUCAAAGCCCACUUUUUAAAUAAUCUAAUCUUUAAAAUUAUGAAACUUUUGAUAUAUUUAUACAUUCUGGUAACAAAAUAGGAAAUACAAAUGUUUUAUUUAGCAAAAUUCUGUGAAACUAUUGUUUGUGGCCAACAUGUGCUUGUAUUGAAUUGAUCCAUCUCUCAGAUUACUGAUUGCUGAGACCAGCUUAGCAGGUGAGGGCUAAAGAAUGGGUGCUGUAAAACUUAAGAAAAAGUUAACAUAAAACAAGGCACAGAGACAUUCAUCUUAAUUAAAGGUGGGAUCCGGGGGACUCAAGGUCUCAGGGACCAAGAGCCCGCCUCAAGAAACCACACUGCUUUUAUUGUGCUCUUUAGGAUUACGUCAAGUAUCAAGUGAGGAGGGGGCUAUGGGUGCAGGAUAUAGUUUUUUAUUAUUAUUAUUUUAGAAGUCACAUUGCUGGUAGCUGGUUAAGCUUUUAUUCUGACCUUUAGACAUUUAACAAUCAUUAGCAUUGAGGAAGCUCUGCAUCAGCUAUCUAUUCAUAGCAUCUAGAGAAUCACCAUUGUGCUUCUGCAGAUGGUGUGCCUAUCUGCAGCAACCCGGUGUGCCUAGGUUUGCACCUUGGUUCUCCUUGCUAUUGCAUAUCCUGCUAACGACCCCUCAUAAACCCCUUGGCCAUGAGGCUCAUCUUCCUCUUAUUCUUAAGAGGAAAUAUCAUGCUGUGCCAACUGCAUGCCUAUCUGCACAGGUCUGGCAUGCCUAGACCAACGCAUUAUGCCCUCAUUCAGCUGACCACGUGAAUAACUUAUGCCUUUAGGUCUUUGUUCUUAAGCUUAAGUCAUUUGCCAGCACUGCAGCUGUUUUUCCAGCAGUAAUAUAGGGUAAAGCAAAGCAGGACAAGAUGGAGGUUUUAACAUAGAAAAUAGAAACAGAGAGGCUAAGAAAAAUUGUAGAAACAUGUCUCCCGACAACUGAUUUUAUCAAAAUAUUGGAAUAUAGAGAUUUUUCAAAAAAUGUUAUAAUAAAUGUCUCUUAUACAUGGAUGUAAUAUCUUCAUCUAGUUUUAUAAUACUCAGAGGUUGUUUCCAGGUGUCAUCUAGACACGUGAAUCAUAAAUAAUGUAUUAGAUCAUUUCUGGUUUCUCCAAAUUCUGGACUAAAAUUGUAAUUUUACUCAGUGACUCUACUACUCAAUAUUGCUUUUUUCUUUUUUUACUAUCUUGGUGAUGAUUAGGGUCUCUCAGAUCUCCCAUUUAGAAUGCCCAGUUAUUAGUGACCUGUACUAUAUGCACUCUAUUUAGUCAAGAAUUGUCUUUUUGCAACAGAUGCAUGAAUUAAUUCCAAAACACACCCAGGGAAACAUUAAAACAUUUCCAGUUAUUCCAACCUAGCAAAUUCAGAUUUAUGUCCCUUAUUCCCUCUAAUAAUCAAUCUUUCUCUUUUAAAUGUAAUGAUACC
rnacentral:lncRNA from 1 species